rnacentral:rRNA from 1 species
AUGUCGACGGCGGCUGCAUCUAGGCCCAGCGGCCCUGUCCUUCUGAGCCCCUUUCCCAACUACCAAUCCGCCUCGCUCUCCCGUGUCAAGCUCUCCGCCGCCGGCUCGCCGGUCAAGUCCGUCAGCGUCUCGUCUCCCCCCUCCUCUCCCACCGCCAAGGUCCGUCGGUCCUGCAUGUGCUCCCCGACGAACCACCCGGGCUCGUUCCGCUGCAGCCUCCACAAGGAGGGCAAACAGGCGGCCCCCGCCGUCAGCAGCAGGCCCGCCUCUCCGCCUUCACCGCCGUCGAAGCGCACGGCGAGCCCGUUCGCGCAGCUCGUCCCCAGCGGCAGCGGUAGCGGCUGCUCUAAACGCUCGUACAGCGGGCUGGCGCAGCGCGUCCCCAUGGGGAGCGGGCACUGGGCACGCAAGGCGCUCGUGCCGUCCCCCGCCGUGCAGCAGCAGCAGCACCGGAAGCGAGUGGUGGAGCGGUUCCACGCCGGGCCAAGCCGGCUCUCCGCCGCCGGCGGCCGCCAGUAA